rnacentral:rRNA from 1 species
UUCGCAAUGCCCGAAAGGGUGACGAAGCGACGCCGCGUGUGGGAAGAAGGCCUUCGGGUUGUAAACCACUGUCAGGAGUUAAGAAAUGCAAGGGUGUAAAUAGCAUCCUUGCUUGACUAAGGCUCCAGAGGAAGCCACGGCUAACUCUGUGCCAGCAGCCGCGGUAAUACAGAGGUGGCAAGCGUUGUUCGGAAUUAUUGGGCGUAAAGAGCACGUAGGCGGCUCUGCAAGUCAGCUGUGAAAGCCUUCUGCUUAACGGAAGAACAGCAGUUGAUACUACAGAGCUGGAGUGCGGGAGGGGAGAGCGGAACUUCUGGUGGAGCGGUGAAAUGCGUAGAUAUCAGAAGGAACGCCGGCGGCGAAAGCGACUCUCUGGCCCGUAACUGACGCUGAGUGUGCGAAAGCUAGGGGAGCAAACGGGAUUAGAUACCCCGGUAGUCCUAGCCGUAAACGAUGGGCACUAAGUAGAGGGGUUUU